GAUGAACGCUGGCGGCGUGCUUAACACAUGCAAGUCGAACGGAAAGGCCUCUGCUUGCGGGGGUACUCGAGUGGCGAACGGGUGAGUAACACGUGGGUGAUCUGCCCUGCACUUCGGGAUAAGCCUGGGAAACUGGGUCUAAUACCGGAUAGGACAAUGGUUUGGAUGCCGUUGUGGAAAGUUUUUCGGUGUGGGAUGAGCUCGCGGCCUAUCAGCUUGUUGGUGGGGUAAUGGCCUACCAAGGCGUCGACGGGUAGCCGGCCUGAGAGGGUGUACGGCCACAUUGGGACUGAGAUACGGCCCAGACUCCUACGGGAGGCAGCAGUGGGGAAUAUUGCACAAUGGGCGCAAGCCUGAUGCAGCGACGCCGCGUGGGGGAUGACGGCCUUCGGGUUGUAAACUCCUUUCGCUAGGGACGAAGCGCAAGUGACGGUACCUGGAGAAGAAGCACCGGCUAACUACGUG
rnacentral:rRNA from 1 species